AUUGAACGCUGGCGGCAGGCCUAACACAUGCAAGUCGAACGAGUGGCGGACGGGUGAGUAAUGUCUGGGAAACUGCCCGAUGGAGGGGGAUAACUACUGGAAACGGUAGCUAAUACCGCAUACCAUCGGAUGUGCCCAGAUGGGAUUAGCUAGUAGGUGGGGUAAAGGCUCACCUAGGCGACGAUCCCUAGCUGGUCUGGGAGGAUGACCAGCCACACUGGAACUUGGACACGGUCCAGAGUCCUACUGGGGGCAGCAGGGGGGAAGAGUGCACAAUGGGCGCAAGCCUGAUGCAGCCAGGCCGGGUGCGGGAUGUCGGCCUUCGGGUUGGAAAGCGCUUUCGGCCAUGACGCGGUAGUGGCAGAAGAAGCACCGGCUAACUACGUGCCAGCAGCCGCGGUAAUAC
rnacentral:rRNA from 1 species